UAUUGAAAACAUUUAGAACAAUUAGACACCCUAUAACCCACACCUACAUACUUGUGUAUCAAUCUCAUUGAUGGGUUGUGCAGUAAGCAGGCUCAGGUGUAUAACCGUGGCUCCUUCCACCUUCAACGGAUAGGCAAGAGGACCAACCAUGGAGAAUAGUUAUAUCAGCUAUGUUGGUGAACCCCACCCACAUCUGAACUGGUUACAUAGAGGGCACAGCAUGAUCAGAGAUAUGUUUUGAUGUGGGAGAAGAAGCCAACCCCCAGUCCCGUCAUCGCCAGCUCACCCGCUCUUAAGAUAACCUUCGGGCCAACUGGGGGCCUAAGGCUGUUAAGAGACACUGCUAGAGACACUAUUACAGUAUGUAAUUGUGAUGAACUCAAGAGAACAUUAGGGUAGCACUAAUUCAUCAAUCAUAUGCUGUCUUCCCUGUUCCUUUUGACUCCUCUGCUCUUACCUCUUUCCCUUUCUUUCUUUUACACUCUCACACCUCUGUCUUCCUCUGUUUUUAUAAUGAACAGCAGAUGUGCAUUGAAGMACAGAUUGAACUUGUGUUUGUAAUAUCA